ensembl:lncRNA
CUGGGCGUGCCCUUUAGAACAACUGUAAAAGCUACGGCAGGAGAAGGAAAAUCACACUUUUCAAAAUUUCCUUCCUUCUCUCUCCUGUGACUUGCAAAACAUUUUACCAACAUUUGCAAAUUACUUUGGUGCUGGAUUUACAGAUGAGUAAAUAAAGGCAAGAGAUGGACCUUUUCAGCCCCACUGACCAGGUGCUAUUGGAAAGGGCUGAAGUUCCUCACUGGUGGUUUCUCAGAGAAGGCAGUUUUUCUUGUACAACAUAUCAAGUUUUUAGUCAGAGUAGCAACUGAGGCCACACCUAUACUGGCAAUUAGAAAUUGAUCUUCAAAUCAUCUGUGAGUGGGAGGGUUUGGGCUUGCUUGUGUGGGUGCUACAGCUGAAGAAGAGCUCAGUAUUGAGACAUAAGGGGAAAGAAAGUUUUCCUGUGGUGUUAAGGCUUGCCCUGUGCUGGCAAAGGUGAUUUUAGCUAGCACCAGUGAAGUGGGUUUGUGAGCCACUGAAUAUUUAAUACUCAGAAUCACAGAAUUGUAGGGAUUCGUAAGAGAGCUCCUUUGCUCCUUUCAGAGAAUGGUGAUAUUGCAAGGCAGUAACAUCUACUUUAAAACACCUGUUAAAUUUGAAGUGUGUAGGAGAAAGGAAAACAGUUCAAAGAAAAACAGAGAAUACUGAAAUCAAGAUAUUGCUGCUGUCUUUCAAGCAAUGACAACGUUGUCAUUUUUGCCUUUCUUCUUAAGAGAUUAAAGCUGAAGGCACUGAUGCUAAAACUUACGCGUGUUUAACUUUCAGUGAAAACUCAAGGCUGUCAUCCUUCAAGAAGUGUAACUUGCUACGGCUGAGUGGCUGGCUUCUAAUAAGAUGACUUCUUUCAUGUUCAAGUUCAUCGAAAUUUGCCCUGCCAAUUCAUAUCUGGAAACAGAAAACUGUAGAAGCCAAAGGGAGACACCAAUCAAGAUGCUGAGAAUGUUAAACCGUGGGAGCGUACCAGCCAAAGGUGAUGGCGAAUUCUCCUCCACAUCAAGUUUUGUGGAUAAAACCCCUCCUGCAAGCACCAUCCAAACUUAUCCUGGUGAUACUGCACAAAAUUUAAGACUUCUGUCAAAUGCUGAUGAUCAGCAAAGAAGCAGGCGGCGGCCUUAAAUCACAGUUAUGCAUCAAGAUUGUGUAUGGGAAGGGAAUAAUUCCUGGGGCUAAAGGAGCUGUGAUUCCUGCUGUCUGCUGACAGUGACCUUAAAGCAGUGUGGGGAAGAGCAUCUCACAAGGCAGCAAAUGCCAUGACCUGGGGGAUUUAAUGGUAUUGCCCUUCAGAGCAGCAAGUAUGUAAGCUCUGAUCUGUGCUUGCCCUCUCUGGGCACCAGCUAGCCCUCACUGAUAGUGUCACCUCUAUACAAGCUUCUGCACUCAUAAGCUACUGCCUUGCAGAAUGCUUUAGUACUUAUUUAUUUAUUUAUUGAUGCUAUCGUGAACCUAAAGAGAAGGAGUGGAGUAGCUCUUGAUAGAUGUAUACAUAUGUCUAUACAUACAUACAUAUGCAUGUUCAUGGAUUAGCCAGUCUUUUCUCUGUGACUAAAUCAGCUUUGCACAAAUGCUAGAGAGAUUAUUUUCUGCACCACUCAGUCUAGGCUUGGUCACAUUUAGGAGCUACAGGAUAUUCCUAUGGAAACUGUCUUUUGUUUUUGUGGCUCAACACAUCUGUAUAAACCAGGACUGCUUGAAAGCUUCAAAGCAUCUUUGUAACAGCAGCAUGAAAGAAGCAAGUAUCUGGGAAGGGAAGUCUAUAAUGACUUGCUACCAAUUCCAGAGUUGCAGUAUUACCAAGAGCAGAUGGGGGGAUGUAACGAUCCAACUGAGAUCUGUAACAGGUUAACAACCUUCCUCCUAACAGGUGACGUUUAAAAGAAACCAGCUACCAGCUAAAUGUAAAGGGGGUAAAAAAAAAGAAAGAAAGAAGAAAAGGAUAAAUAAAUGAGGUAAAAUGAAGGUUAAAUUAGGAGGA